AGUGAACGCUGGCGGUAGGCCUAACACAUGCAAGUCGAACGGCAGCACAGUAAGAGCUUGCUCUUACGGGUGGCGAGUGGCGGACGGGUGAGGAAUACAUCGGAAUCUACUUAUUCGUGGGGGAUAACGUAGGGAAACUUACGCUAAUACCGCAUACGACCUACGGGUGAAAGCAGGGGAUCUUCGGACCUUGCGCGAUUGAAUGAGCCGAUGUCGGAUUAGCUAGUUGGCGGGGUAAAGGCCCACCAAGGCGACGAUCCGUAGCUGGUCUGAGAGGAUGAUCAGCCACACUGGAACUGAGACACGGUCCAGACUCCUACGGGAGGCAGCAGUGGGGAAUAUUGGACAAUGGGCGCAAGCCUGAUCCAGCCAUACCGCGUGGGUGAAGAAGGCCUUCGGGUUGUAAAGCCCUUUUGUUGGGAAAGAAAAGCAGCAGGUUAAUACCCCGCUGUUCUGACGGUACCCAAAGAAUAAGCACCGGCUAACUUCGUG
rnacentral:rRNA from 1 species